UCAAAUACAGUCUCUGAUACAAAACGAAUAUUAUGGCGUGCUAUGUAUGGCCGUAUUAUACAAAAUACGAUACAGUUGCAAUGUGCAAUUUUUGUGAGAAAAAUUAUUCUCUUAAGCCAAUCUAUUCCAAUAUAAGAACACACAUAUCCAGGAGACAUAGAGGUGUAAGUCAAGACGCCUAUAAAGUAAUACAAGGCAAUAAACUACAAUGUGAGAAAUGUAAGAAAAUAUAUAAUAAACGUUACAAAAUUACAUCCUACAUAAAAUUACAUUUACAUACUAAACAUGGAAUUGAUCAAAAUAAAGAGGAAGAACAUAAAAACUGGAUAAUAGAAUAUAGUAGAAAUAAUGAGAAUAUUAUUAAACUAAACCUUGAUAAAACAAUAACGUGCCGACGUUGCAGAAAAGUUUUUCCAAGGAAUUAUGUCGAUUUAAUGAGACAUUUGUACACUGAUCAUCAAGUCGAGGAAAUACCUGAGGAAUUCAAAUAAACGUGGCAAAGUGCUACAGACAUUCCUAAAAGCAGCUACAAACAACUAAUACGCAAUUUUUAACAAUUUGGCAAUGUAAAUGACUGUAUAUCACUAUAUCUUGGAGAUUCUGUGUUAAACAGCUCUCAGUCAACGGAUUUUGAUAACAUUGUUGAAUACGAUGACCCUUCCGAUCUCGAAGAUAUAUGUAGAGAUAUAUAUUGAAGAUAUAUAUUGA